rnacentral:rRNA from 1 species
UCAGGAUGAACGCUAGCGGCAGGCUUAACACAUGCAAGUCGAGGGGCAGCAUACCCAGCAAUGGGUGAUGGCGACCGGCGGAAGGGUGCGUAACGCGUGAGCAGCAUACCCUAUACAGGGGGAUAAGCCAGGGAAACUUGGUCUAAUAUCCCAUAGGAAAUAGAUAAGGCAUCUUGUUUAUUUUAAAGCUUCGGUGGUAUAGGAUUGGCUCGCGUGACAUUAGCUAGAUGGAGGGGUAACGGCCCACCAUGGCAAUGAUGUCUAGGGGUUCUGAGAGGAAGAUCCCCCACACUGGGACUGAGACACGGCCCAGACCCCUACGGGAGGCAGCAGUGAGGAAUAUUGGACAAUGGAUGGAAAUCUGAUCCAGCCAUGCCGCGUGCAAGGGAAGACGGCCCUAUGGGUUGUAAACUGCUUUUAUACGGGAGCAAUAAGGUCUAUGCAUAGAUUGAUAAGAGUACCGUAUGAAUAAGCAUCGGCUAACUCCGUGCCAGCCGCCGC